GGGCUCUGCCAAGGGUGGCCCAGGCAACCCAGUUCAUGGCCCCCGUUUGGAGUUGGGAGCCCGAAGGCAGCAAGUCCCCCUUGUGAGCAUCUGCCGUGAGGACGUUCUCCCUCUGCCAGGAGCAGGAGCCUCUGCUGCCCCUCCAGCCACAGACGGAAGGUGCCCAGCAGACCCCCAAGGCUUAAUGAAGUAAUGAGGCAGCAAUUAGUCACGUAGGACACAAACCUCCUCUCCUAAUUUGCUUGCUGCUUUUCCUUCUGGGACCCUGCCUGGCACAGCCUCAUGAGGCGGAGGGAGUCUUCUAUUAACAGGCUCCCUCUUUCUCCCCUUCACACCCCCACCCAAGAGGGUCUUUUCAGCCCACCUGGAACAGGAGUCCUCCAGGGAGCUCUGGGGAGAGACAGCUUUGGGGCUCCCUUCCUAGAGAGGUUGGAUUGGCUUCCUCCUUCUUGUCCUUUGGGCUUUUGAGUUGUUUUUAAUAUUUAUGCUUUUAUGGUGAGGUGAUGUUUUUUAUUGUAAUUAUCUGUAUUUUUAAUAGACCUCUCUGUAUAUGGUUUUAUUGGCACUUGAUUGCUUUUUCAUUGCAGCUUCCCCCCUACGUUUUUAGCGGUUUCUAUUUUAUCUGCAAGCCAUCCAGGGUCCCUGUGUGGCUGAGGGCAGAGAGACUCUGUUGGCCAGAGAACACUUGCUUUCUCCACCCUCCAGCCCUAGGAGCCUUCCCAAGGGAGCUCUUUCCGGAGGAGGAAGAACUGCAGGUGCAGAGAGACGCUGUUUGCUGUCAGUAGCUGGUUGGUCUCCCUCUGCUGCCCCACCUCCAGCCCAAAGAGCCCUCAGGAGGGAGUUGCUGCCAUGGGCAUUAGGGCUUUGGGUAUUUUAAUGAGCGAAAGAUUAUGAGUCAUGGGGGUCAGAAGAGUGUGUGUGUGUGAACAUAAAAAAACUUUAUUGGAAGAUAAAAAAUACAUAAUUACAAGUGCACAGAGUAUAAUAAGACACAAAAAUAAAUAUGGUAUUUAUAAAAAUGAACUCAACAGUGCUCAGUUUAUUUUUUGGUUGCUGUAUUGUUAAGGUUUUUAUAUUGUUUUAAUCCAGCAUUGCCUGAGCUCUGCGAGUGUGGCUUUCUCCCGAUUGAAGGGCAGAGUGUUUGAGGACCAGGACAUUGGCAGAGAAACCAAAAUGCUUGUUUACAAAGCUAUUGUACUACCAGCCUUACUGCAUGCUUCUAAAACGUGGACCACUUCUAAACGCCAUCUCCAACUCCUCAAAAGAUUCCAUCAACGGUGUCUCUGAAAAAUUUUACACAUUCACUUGGGAAGACAGGCAAACUAGUGCCAGUGUCCUGGAAGAAGCAAAGAUCACCAGUGUCAAAACAAUUAUUCUUCAACCUCAACCUCGUUGGACUGGUCAUGUUGUUUGGAUGCCUGACUGUCGUUUUCAAAGCAAUUACUCUAUUCCAAACUUAAAAAUGGAAAGAGUAAUGCUGGUGGUCAACAAAAGAGGUUUAAAGACUGUCUCAAGGCAAAUCUUUAAAAAUGUAGUAUAAACACUGACAACUGGGAAACACUGGCCUGCGAGCGCUCCAGUUGAAGAACAGCCUUGACCAAAGGUGUUGUGGGCGUUGAAGACACUCGAACUCAGGACGCAAGGGAGAAACAUGCUAAGAAGAAGGCAUGCUUGGCAAACCCUCACCGGGACCAGCUCCCACCCAGAAACCAAUGUCCCCACUGUGGAAGGACGUGUGGAUCCAGAACUGGCCUCCACAGUCAGUUACGGACUCAUAGUUCAAACUGUGUUUAUGGAAGACAAUCUUACUCAGCUAUGAGGGAUCGCCAGAGAAGAUUAUAAAUACUGUAUUGUUAAUAAUAUAAUGUGUCUUUUGCUAUAAUUGUGAUGUUCAAUUUAUGUUUUAGCUGUUCCUUUGUUAAGUG